UUAAUUUGUUUACAGGUAAAUAACUAAAAAUCCCUAGUAAUAGUUUUAUUUUUAUUAAAUUAAAUAUUUUCUUAUCCGGAUUAAAAUAUAUAGUUAGUUAAUUCAAUUUACAACAUCUAAAUUUUAAAUUUACAAUUAGUUAACUUAAUUUACAGCAUCCAAAUUUAAGAUGUACAAUUAGACAAUUUAAUUUACAGCACCUUCCAACAGUUCAUUUUAUAUAACCAUUUGCAAAUUUGGCCAAUAACUCAUCAGUUUCACUCAUUCAACAAUUAGCACAUGUUAUCUAAUCCCUAAUCAACAUUGUUAAAGAUAUUGAAAACAAGAAUGUGCGAACAACUUACAACUAAUGUUGUCUAAACUUAAAAAAAGAUCAAAUGCUUAGGUCAACGUGUGUGGUUUGUUUUUGGGUCAUCUGAUACAUCAUAGUUCGGUUUGCAAGGCGUGGGAUGUGCAUAAAAGUAUAUAUUAUCUUUAAUCCAAAUUUGCAUAUUAGCAGCAACAAAAAGCUUUAAUCAGUCACUAAUAGUUACAAUUGAAUAAAUGUAUCAAAAUCGUAUAUGAUUAGAAAAACUAAGAGCAACAUUAACGGGGUAUGAUAGAGGAAGUCGUUAGGCUUUAUAUGAUUUUAUUUAAAUAAAAAUUGUAUAAUUUCGCUGGGACGGACGCGGUUUGUCGUUGGCUAACAUAUUUUUUUUUUGUCCUUAGGUGAUACGUGUCGGCAAUGGAAUGGUGGAAGCGUUUUGGUUUGAGAAAUGAUUCACGUGUUGCCCUUUGGGCCUUGUCUCUUUGAAAGAGAGAGAGAGAGUUGAAGAUCGAUGGCGGAAGGCACGAUGAUCCCCAGCAACUGAAGAAGGGAAGCCAUAGCUUCAGGCAGAGGCUACUUCUCUGAACCCUUUCUUCGACGCCUAUCAUCAGGCAGAGGCUGAAUCCUAGACUCCAACAUCACGAGAUGUCUCUCCUCCGCCUCUUCGAGACUGUCUCCGAUGACUGCAUCACACUUGCCCUCAUCCAGGUUAAAACUUUUGAUCCUUGCUCCUCACUUUUCUUAUAGUUUAUCGAUCUGGGCUUGCUACAUUACUUACGAUUUCUGGGUUUCACUAAUGCAACUCAAAUUAAAUUGACUGAUGUUACUGAUCCCAUGGUCAAUGAGAAGGUUGCUGAUCGGGUAGGAGAGGAUUUAGAAGGAGUUACCCAUAAAGUUUACUUUGAUAUUCAGAUCAAUGGUUGACCUGAAUGAGUUACCCACAAAGUUUACUUUGUCCCCUCUUCUUCAUUGGGCUUGCGUAGAGGGAAAGAUUGUGGUUGAGCUGAUUUUGCUGGGCAAAUCUGGAUGCAGGGGCAAACAUUAUCUGAUUUUUUCUUAAUUGUUCUGUUCUUUUUUUUUGGUUUCGGGUAUGUGGAUUUGAUUUUGUGAUCGUUGUUCUGAUUGUGCAAGGAGGAGUCUCUUGCACAUAGAACAUAGAAACUACCUUUUUAUAUAGUUUGUAAUCAAAGAUUUACUCUACUUAUUUGUGCUUCACGUUUCA